ACAAGAAAGGAAAAUGGGCAUGGCCCAACAAGAAAGAAAAAUGGGCAUGACCCAAUGGAAAUAAGUUGAGGAGAAAUCAUAAAAGAGUCCAAAAACACCAAAGGAAGAAAAGUCCAAAAGAAAAGGAAAGUGGAGACUUGGGCCAACCUAGCUUAAUUGGGUAAAAUUCUUUACUCUUCUCCAUGACUUAUUAUGAAAUUGGACUAUAUGGAGACUAGCUUAUUUUAUUUAAUUAUACAUUGGUUAGUUGGUGAUAUGAAGUAAAUUUAAGUUUUUUAAAAGGUUGAAAUAGGCACUUAAUACCAUAAAUAAGUUACCGGUGUUAAUAAUCUAAAAAAUUACGUAAACGAAGGAUGCAAUUAAUUAUAGUAAAAAAUGCAUUGAGAUGUAAAUUAGGUGAAUGGAUUUAUGAUAGAAUGAGAGAGAGAGAAGUAGAAUUGAUUUCGCUAAACAUAUUGGAUUUAAAUUAUUGUUAGGAAAGUUAUGGUGGAAGCGUGUCGAACAAAGUAUAUGAUUGGCAAUUAGGAAUAAUUGUACGCAUAUACGAAUCAAUAGCG
rnacentral:lncRNA from 1 species